CUUCCCAGCUUCCCUGCUCUCCCGUCCCAUCCCGUCCCUUCCCGUGCCGUGCCGGCGGCGCGGUGGGAGCGCGGCCGGGGGAGCUGCCGGGGGUGCCGAUGGAUCCCGGCGCUGAGGCGGAGCCGCUGCUGCCCCCGCGGCGCUGGCGGGCGGCCCGCGGGCUGUGGCGCUCGGCCGAGCGCGGUGCUGGAGCUGAUAAUGACCUUUACAUAAACCAAGCUGUAGUAUUUAUUGAAGAUGCAAUACAGUAUCGAUCCAUAAAUCACCGUGUGGACUCCAAAUCCCUGUGGCUUUAUCGAUGGUACUAUUCAAGGACUUGCCAGUGGAUUUUGAGUUUAACCAUCACUGUAAUCCUGGCUCUGGCUUUCGUUGAAGAGCCUUCUUCGCUGACAGUCACCUCGGAUGUGCGGUACCGCCCUCCCGCUUGGAACCCGCCCUGUGGCCUGACCGAAAGCCUGGAGCUGCUCUGCUUCCUGGUGUUUGGGCUGGAUGUGUCCGUGAAGAGUUACUUAAUUGGAUGGAAAGAAUUUUGGAAAAACAAAUGGCUAAUGGCUUAUAUACUGACAUUAAUUGUCUCCCUGACUGAUUGGAUUGUCUCACUGAGCUUUUUCUGCACAGAGAGUUUGAGGAUAAGAAGGAUUCUUCGUCCGUUCUUUCUCCUUCAGAACUCCUCUAUGAUGAAGAAAACAUUAAAAAGUAUCAACAGCACAUUGCCUGAAAUGGCAAGUGUUGUUCUGCUGCUGGCUGUCCAUCUGUCCCUCUUCACCAUGUUUGCCAUGCUGCUGUUUGCUCGAACAAAGGAUAACCAGCAGGAUAAGGAGUGGGUGGUGUAUUUCCGGAAUCUGCCGGAUUCACUGACAUCCCUGCUGGUCCUGCUGACUACUGCAAACAAUCCUGAUGUGAUGAUUCCUGCAUAUUCUAAGAAUCGAGCAUAUUCCAUCUUCUUCAUCCUCUUCACUGUAUUAGGCAACCUGUUUCUGAUGAACUUGCUUACAGCAAUAAUAUACAACCAGUUUCGAGGAUACCUCCUGAAAUCAGUUCAGUCCUCCCUCUUCAGGAGGCGGCUGGGAAUCCGGGCUGCCUUCGAAGUGCUCUCCACCCUGAAAGAGACUCCUGCUAAUGCCCAACAGUCAUAUGUCAGCAGUGGGGCCUUACACCAAGUGCUGCAGAAAGUUGAGAUGGAUUCUCGCUGCAAACAAGCCAUCCUGAGGUCGCUCAAAAUGUGCUCCUGUGACCAACUGUCAGCUGCCCAGUUCCAGAAGCUCUUUGAAGAACUAGACAAAGAUGCCAUUAAGCAACAUCCUCCCAGUCCAGAGUACCAAUCCCAUUUUAUGCAGAAAUUGCAGUUUGCCUUUGGCCAUCCCUACUUUGGCUACUUGGGGAAUGUGGUAGCCCUUGCAAACAUUAUUUCUGUCUGUGUGGUUUUGGUGAUGGAUGCAGAUAAACAGCCUUCUGAAAGAGAUGACUUCUUCCUGGGGGCCAUCAACUGCUUCUUCAUCCUGUACUAUCUGCUGGAAAUGUUGCUGAAAAUCUUAGCAAUGGGCUUGAGAAGAUACUGGUCUUACCCAAGCAAUAGAUUUGAUGGACUUCUGACUGUAAUUUUGCUGAUUUUGGAGAUUGCAACUUUUGCUGUGUAUGGAUUUCCUCAUCCUGGCUGGAGACCCGAGUUGAUGGGUCUGUUAUCCCUGUGGGAUAUGGUGCGGCUGGUGAACAUGCUGAUCGUGUUCCGCUUCCUGCGGAUCAUCCCCAACAUGAAGUUCAUGGCUUUGGUUGUCACUACAUUGCUGGAUCUGGUAAAAAACUUAAGAGCCUUUGCAGGAAUCCUCGUGGUGGUUUUCUAUGCAUUUGCUAUCACUGGCAUAAUGCUGUUUAAAGGUGCCGUUGUUCCCUUGGGAAACACCAGUGCUGCCAACACAACAUUUGCUAAUGGCACUUUGCAGUGUGGGACCUACGAGCAGCUGGAAUAUUGGCCCAACAACUUCGAUGACUUUGCCGCAGCAGUGGUGACCCUCUGGGAUGUGAUGGUGGUGAACAACUGGCAGGUCUUUUUGGAUGCAUUUUCAAGAUAUUCAAGUCCGUGGGCAAAGAUCUAUUUUGUAGCCUGGUGGUUGAUCUCCUCUGUCAUCUGGGUUAAUCUCUUCGUAGCUUUACUUCUGGAGAACUUUAUUCACAAGUGGGACCGUCGCUGUCAUCGAGAGUCUCUUUCAGAUGUUGAAUACCAGAGGACAGUGGAACUAAUGUUCAGAGAUGUUUUGGAAGAACCUACAGAGGAGGAGUUGAUGGAAAAACUGCACCAGCACCCACACCUGCAGUUAUGUAGGUGACUGGUGGGAAGGACUGAUUUGUUUAGACCUCUGUUUUCUUGAGGUUGUCAGCUGGAAGAAACUGGAUUUUCUGUGAGAUGCUGUUUAGGAAGAGGGGCUUGUAGGACAGUGUGUGAGGUUUUGCUUGGCAAUUCUCUGCAGGAAGGUUAUUUUAUUUUUGGGUUCAUAUCUUUUUCGCAGAAGAUUUGAGUCUUGCUUAACUUGACUUGAUUUUAAGUUGCAGUUUUAGAGGAGCGUUGCAGCCGUUAUUUUUAUAGACUGUUGAUAUCAGAACGUGUUUUAUUUUCUUUUUUUUAAGAGGGAAAGUGUGUUUAAAAUGACAGUGCACUUUAAAAAAUGAACUUUAUAACCACUAAGCCUCCUACUUUCUUCAGCACAGGAAAAUGGAACUGCCUUUUCUGGCAAUGUGGCAAGGGCUGUGCCCUGCAAGUCAUGAAUGGAUUAGGCAGGACCAGAACAGAAUCCUUAAUCUUUUUGUAGUGAGAGUCGAAACACUAUUUUUGCUGUGAUGUGACACCAGCGUAUCUUACCGAAUUUUCAGGAGUUAAUCACGUUGGAGCACAAUCUGUUUCAGCUGAGGGGCAGGGGCUGCCUGCUUUGCACAUCCUCUGGUUUCCUUUGCUUUUGCUCAAGGGUUGGUGCCGGUUGUGUCGUGCUGGUCGCUGUGAGAGCGGCUACAACCGCGACCGGAGCCAUUGCACUCGUGCUCUUCCAUGUGGUAAAAACUGAGCUUUUCUGGAGUAAACAUUCUCAUGCUGCUUUUUAGUGAACCCUCUUCCUUUCACUUUCCUGUUCUGCCUCUGUGUCGUGUUCCAUGAAAGAGCUGAACUUUGGCCGGAAUGUCGCACCACGAUCGCUGCCGGUCUCCCGCUUAAAGGGGGUGGAAAAAAAAAAGGGUUGAAUUGGGAUAAUCAAAGUGCUCAGCAGUUCAAAUUUUUAAUUCGAGUCUGUGGGAUUAGAAGGUCCUCAACCAGUAUUGCAGGAUCACAUACCUUUAUGGCUUAAUGGCCACACGUUCCAUAUCACUGACUUUCACCUGGGUAAAACUUUUUUGGGCCCGCGGCCAGGAGCGCGAGCCCAGUUUCCUGCUCCCGUAGAAGGCAUGGAAGAUGGCAGUAGGGUUGCACAUCAUCUACAGCCCUGGGGUUUUUAUCCUCCUCUUCAACAUCACUGAAAUACAGAGAGCUUUGUGCCACAGAGGAAAACUCACGGGAGGCAAAUAUUCCCAAUGGGAAUGUAUUGUUCUUUGAAGAAUCCUAUCUGAGUUAUUUUGUCUUACAGGGGUAAGUUCAGUCUUUCUUCAUUUUCACCCAGACCACAAUGAAGACUUUGUACUUUUUUCUGUUUAGUGGCUGCUGGAAGAGGGCUCGUUCAUGGCUCUGGGAUGAAGAGGAUGAGCAGAAUUUGAGAACAGCUUGUCUGUUCCCAUUCCAAAUUGAAAGUGGACUUGACUUACUUUUCCUAAUGCAUCUGGAUGCAAGUGUUGGAGCAGGAUAUUUUAUUGCUCUGCUUUUUUUUAUUUUUAAGGAACAAUGUCAACUUUUUUCCUAGCUCCUCCUAUAUCUGUCUUCUAAGAUAAUCUCAGACCCCAACAUCUCUCUAUUUGAUUUUUUUAUACAGAGUUAUGGAUAAUAUGAUAAUAUGCUUACGCAGUAAUUCCAUUUUAAAAUAGUCUUCUAGUCGAGGAAUUUUCUUGUCUGAUUUGCCUCAGACUUUCCAGAAAAAUUCUACCUUGGCUUGAAGUUUGCACCUGGGAAAGUUCAAGGAAAUCUGUUUAGCUUUUGCUCUAUGAGGAAGGGAUUCUGCCAAAAUUAAGUUUUUUAUGAAAGGCAACUGGAAGUACAGAUAGACUAGUUUUGUCAUUACUAGACAAUAUUAGUGUACAAUCAGUCUCAUCAAGAAAAAAUAUGACUAAAUGGAUUUUAUAUUCCUUAUAAAAAUGAUUUUUUUGUUUCUUCUUUGGCUACUCAGGGUAGAAUGCUUACUGCUAAUCCAUCAUGUUUAAUUUUGUGAGUCACUUCUUGUGUGCACAUUUCCUGUACAUCUUGAACAAAACCAUGCAAAAAGAUGAGCAAAGAAUUAGGAGAAAAUUAUAAAUGGAUCCAUGUGACUGCCUUUUCUACAGAUAUUUCUUUUUCUUCUCUUACUUGAGAAGUUGAGAGGGAAUGCAGGGCCAUGCAGUGUUUGUUAAAGCUGAUGGAAUAUCUUUCUCCCUCUGGGUAUUUCUUUAAUCAAUGUUUCUUUAUACCAUUAGGUCAUCUCCUCUUUUUUUCAUGGUUUUUUUUUUUUUCUUUUUUUUUCUGAAGAAGCCUUGUUUUGUACAUUUCCGUACAUCUUGACGUUUAUUCUCAGAAUUAUGGCCUGACCACUUCCUCUCUUUUCCUCAAAAUUUCUCUCGUUUUUAUCUAUUUUAAGUGCCAGAGCACAAAGAUAACCCCAUCAUAGUUCUCUCAUUUUCCCCAGCAGUUCCCCCCCGCCUCUCCCCCGGCCUUUCCCUCCCUGCAAUGAAAAAAAUGAAAGGUCUCAUGGUCUUACAGAUUUUCUUUAUGCUUAUUUUGGCCUACUUGCAACCCAAAUACAUCAUCACGCUAUAAGACGGCUCUCUAAGGCUCUUGGAUCAAUUAAAGGUAGCCCUAUUCAUUGCCAGUACAAACCUUUGCCUAUUAACUCCUUCAAAGGGCAUUUGUCAUCUCAAAAAGCUGUGAAUGCCGUCUGGGUACAUUGAUUAAAAAAAGGUAUUGUUUUAAGGCUGCUGAAUAUCUUAAUUAGUUGUAAUCAGAGGGCAGCUUGUGUCUGUGAAGUGAUACAGUUACCUUUCACCCACUAGCUUUAUUUUCUGUGGUUUUAAAAGGGAGAAAAUAAAAAUAAAUCUCAGAUGUACCUCAAGAAUACCGUUUUUAGGGUACGAGAGGAGCGCACUUGCUGAUCAAACUGUAAUUUAUGACAUUAUUUUGCAAAGGCAAAUAUUGAAUGUGGUAACCCAGAAUGCAUCUCGUUGGGCUACGACCAGCCAAGAGCGGGUAAGUGGAGCUGCUCGCUGCCAGCAGUCAUCCUCCUUUUCUUCCCUCAGAAAUCCAGGGUCUGUGUCCUGCAAAUGGAGAAAUCUACCCCAGUUCUUCAAGUGCUUGCACGUGUGCUGAGCUUGAGCCCGUGAAUCAUCCAUUAAUGCAGGGCAUACACAGCUCUGUUUGGCACAUCAAGGUAGAACAAGGUAACAUUUUUUCAGAUCAGUGGUUCAUUUUUGCCAUAGUUGUCUCAAAUGAAUGUGUCCUAAAGCUCUGGCAAAUAGUUUUAGCUGGCAAAAUGUCUUGUUCCGCUGUUCACUGAAUCAAAGCAUUUCUUUCAGUAGUUAAUCGUAAAAAUUCGUUUUCUAUCUAAGGAGAGACCCUUUUGAAAAUGAAAAUCAAUACUUUUUUCUUCCUUGGGCCUCGUGAAAAGUUUUGUUGGUGCAUAUUGCUUUCUUGGUUUAUUUUUCUGAGAAAGCAACACAGUUUAUAUUUAAUUUAAAUGCAUUUUGCUAAAAUCAAUUUUUUUUUUCUGUACAUCUAAUGGAGGCAUCAGGGUAUAGGCAAAACCCUUCCAGUCAUGUCUUGAUGGUACAGCAAUGGCUUUCAUCCUUUGCCCCCUGCUCUCUGGAGAUGCAUUUCCAGAGGAGAUGAUUUGGGGAUAUAUAUGCUUUUCUUUCCAUAUUUGUGCAAAUAUCUUCUUACAGGUCAGAAAAAACACUUGACCAAAAAAAAAUCUGAGUCACACUUGGAAAAAUGUGUGCUUUUGUGCUUGAUUAAGAUGCUUAUAGUGAUAAUGGUAAAUAGAAUUUAAUUUGUUUCAUUGUGGGAAAGGAAGGGGACACAAAUGGUGUUUUACAGGGAGUCCCCCUUUACCUGGAACAAAAAUUCUUUGGAAAACACCUAACUCACUAACCACGUGUAUCAAACUGCUGGUGCAGUUUGGUCACCUGGAAAGCAGGGCAGUGCCAUGGCUGGGAACCCGCAGACAAACAAAUCCCCAACACUCACACUCAACCUGUGACUUGCUUGGUGAAUUUUAUUACAGGAAAUCCAGGCAUGCACAGAUUCUCAAGGUAAUGUGGCAAAGUCAUGUAAAUGCAAGUGGUGCUGUGCUCAGUCUCUUAUUUUCCAGUGGAUAAGUGUGCUGGACAAUGGAUGGCUGGAAGUUAGAAUAUGUUUAUGAUUUACCUAUUUUUUUUUUCAGAAGCCAUGCUCUUGUAUCACUGGACAGUUUCACUCUACAUGUCUAGAUUCAGCAAGAAGUACUUCAUCUGUCUUUUUUUAAAAAUUUUAUUUUUACUAAAACGCUUCAGAAAAUCUAGUUCUGUCUUCAAAUCACUGUAUAGACAAGAAGCUAUCAGAAUCUCUGUUUCACAGGUGAGGAAAACCGGUCCGAUCAGGAUUAAAAUCCCAAUUCAAGGACAAGCAGAAACUUAAGUACGUCUUUUAAUUUUCCUGUGAUUUUGGCAUAAACUAUUAUGAAUGGUUUCUCUGGGAUGCUGUCAGAGGUGAAAAUAGAAUAUGCUUUGAGUUGCAGACAGUACCUCAGCCGCAGCACUGCGGUGCGUGGACACAGGAAUUUUUCUCUUUAUACUUGCUAAAAAAUGUGACGCAUGGGAUGGUCACACAGGAGAGGGAUUUAUUUCUGUAGUUGGUUUUUCAAUUCAGUGGUUGAUAUACUGUGGUAUUGAAGCUCAUUUUGGUGUGGAGAUCCAUGCAGCUCUGAACUUUUCCUUCAGCUUUGUAGGUUUUCACGGAAGUGUGUGGUAUCUUUUCUUUGGUCAGGUGCCUUGAAAGUAAACUGGGAGAAAUAAAUAGGCACGUUUCUACUGUGGCUGUGAUAAGCAUAUGCAUGUAUAUAUAUAAUGGUAUUGUGUGUCUUGCUCUACAUAACAUUUUUAGGUGUCUGUGCAAGUAGAUUUAUGAAGUGUGACUCGUUUUUCCUUCUCCCCACUGUUCCAGUGGAAGAGCUCAGACUGCGAUGAGAAAAACUAGUACACGUUAUUAAGAAUUCUGAUAAAGUAGGCUGAAUAAAUUUGUUUUCUUUGUGAGCCUUAAUCCUGUGUUGUAUUGGCUUCUUGGACAUGGCUAAUUUAUUUGGAAUUCCAUUCUGUUCCCGACAGCAUUCCUGAUUAGCAGUUUGAUCACCCGGAGCAAAGUUACAUACCAGCUUUCAACUCUUGUAAUCUAGCAGUGUAAUUUUUUCAAAUGGACUCUUUUCUUUCCUUCUUUGCCCCAGCUCCCCUUCUUUUUGUGCGCAAAGAGACUUUAAAAGUAAGCAGGAUAACCUGCUAGUAGAAUGAAAAACUUCUUCAAAACACAAUGUAGUUUGCUGAAUGCCCGGCUUUCAUUUUCAAAUAGAAAAAUGAGGUUUGGAGCUGUGUCAGUGCAGCAUGUGAAAUGUUUACCUUCCAUCACGCACAGAGGAUGAUGGUUCUUUUCAAUAACUGCAUUUUAGGGGUGGUGUGAUAUAAUCUUCAAGUUCUUUCCAAGGUCUGUAGUUCGCCAAAGCACAUUUUGCUUGUGAUAAGUUUAAGAGAGUUUAAAUCGUUGUUUAGCAAAGCUUUUCACAUCAUGGACCUUGUAGGAAAAUGGCAGUUGUGUCAUUGUUUGCUUCCCUCUAAACUGGCUUAUGCUGUCAAAACAAAGGAUGCACAGGAAACCCAAAUUUAACUGUAAACCAGAGGCAGGUUUUGAUCUGUUUUUGGUAGAGCACAGGAGGAGCAUCAUCCAAGUGAAACCAGAGGAAAUGGAGCCUGCAGCAGCCCCCCAAAUCUGCCAAAGGUGUGGAGUUACAGACAAGAGGGAAGGGAGUUUUCCGUCCUGUGACAUUUCUGGAGGUCCCAAUCUGGUUUGUGCACAGUGAGAAGGAAAAAAAAAGAUUUUUAAGUCAAGGGAGACGUGGGAAUAGCCCAGAGAUAGGUGACCACAGCACUUGUCAAAAGACUCAAACUGUGGUUUUAUGCAUGAGUGCCUUGGCUGUAUAAUGUUUGGAGAGUGUCUGUUUUGUACUGAUCUUGAAUUUAAUGGAUCUGAAAAGCAGCUCUUGACAAAUAUUUUGUCAAAACUGAAGCACGUUUGGCCAGACCUCUGUGUUUGAAAAACUGAUGUUUCAGUUGAAACACUGUUUUGUCCAAAAUAAUACUAAUCAAAUUUUCUCCUGAAUUUAUGUGAACUACUCAGCUAUUCUGAACUUUAUAACAUAAAUCCUAAAUAUUUGUUCUAGGCUUUUUCCUUUGAGUCGCUAAAUACGUUUGUAUUUUUAUGUUUGUUCACAAUUAGGUGGACAUUUUGGAUAUUAUGAAACUUUUAUUUCAUUGAUAUGACUAAGUAUCAAUGGCUUAUGUGUGAUCUAUUCUGCUACCACCAGGUCAUGUUCUAAUCACAUUCCUAGGAAGAAAUUCCUGUAAAUGAAAGGGAACCAAAAUAUCUACUGCCAAGUAUGGCCACAUCCAGCAGCAUAUGGAGGUGAUCAUGGAAUGGCAGCUCCAUAACUGCAGAGGUCUCAUCAAGUCUGUAUUUUGAAAUACAGAUGUCUUCAGGUAAUGACUUUUAAGACUGAUUUAUAAGUUUUUGCUUCAUUUUCUCCUAACCCUUUCCCCUCACUUUCAUUAUGUUGUUCUUUUUUUCCCCCUGCAAUCUGUGCCCUUUCUUUUGCGAUUGAAUUUCAGUUUUGACUGCGAGGCCUUUGAGGAUGAGCUGGAGUUUUACAAAUACUUCUGGUUUUAUGGACACUGAAAUUAGUCUUGAGGGAAGAAAUAUGUAAUAAAUGUGGUAACUUAUUUCUGUCCUUGUUUUUCUUGAUCGUGGAAACGAGCAUAUUGAACUGACUGUGGUGGGAUUCUGCUGGGGAUUUUCCAGUAGAAGAGCAGUGGGGCAGGUGUUGACUUUGCUUUGGCUCCAUGCAACAUGGAAUGAUCUUGAUAUGUGCGUGUUAUCACAACUUAUUUGAAGCAGGAGUUGGCUUUGAAUGUCAAGUUUUGUCCUCUAAAGCUGUGAAGACCUUGAUCUGGCUCUUUUGAACUGGCAUUUUGUUUCCAGUGUGAUGUAGAAUGCUUGUUCAGGAGAUUUCACAUAUGCAAACUGGAGCAAGGUGCCUUUUUGACUCUGAUAACUGUAGAAGGCACAUGAUUCUGAGAGAUAAGUGCUGGUCUUGAAUUUUUCUUUUUCUCUUAACAAAGAACUGGGAACUUCUUGUUAGCCAUGCCAACUACUGCAACUAUUUGCUGUUUUCAUUUGUAACAUAUCCUGAGUUUUGAAUGCGUGGCAAAAUGCAGUAAGUAAUAUAUUCUAUUUUUUAAUUUUAAUUUAUUAAUGUUUUGGGAUAUAUUUCAAACUGAUGGCAACAGGAAGUGUUUUAUGAUUGAUUAUUGUUGUAUUCUCUGCUUUGUCACGUGUAGCUACACUUGAUAUUUUGAAAUUUUAGGAAUGUAGUGAUAUUUUAGGAGAUAGACUGCUUUGUAGGGGAACUGGAAAAUUAGAUGUGAAACCUGUUGCCUUACAUUUUAAAGUCAACAAAACUGCAUAAUACAUAAUUAUUUUUGCCAAACUACCCUUCAGUGGGCACUGAUUACCAGGAUAAUUAAUUAUGUACUAAUUUAAAAGAAAAAUAUGGAAUUUUAAAAAUAGUUCCAAAUUAGAGGAUUUUUUUAAUAAAUAGUUGUAACAGAACAGGGUAAUAAUGUUGGUUAUGUGAUGAAAACAUAUGUUAGUAAUAAAAUAUCAUCCAUCAGGAAUACUGUUCUAUCGUGCCAUUGCUCUCUAGGGAGAUGACUAGUUGAGAAAUGAUUUUAACAAAAUAAACUCUGAACAGAGAGGAUGCUUUUAUUGGUGAUAUGACACAAAAAGGCAAAUCAUUAAAAAAACGGUGCCAGGAACAUCUGUUGUGUGAAAAAGUAAAAUUUUGGAAAAUCCAAAUAGUGAUUAUCAAUAUAUAGACUUUGCAUAGUGCUUUUCCUUGCUCGUUCCCAAAAGGCUUUACAAAGAAAGGAAGAACAACCAUCCGUGUUAAACCGCCUUUCCCAAACCCAGCCGUGCCAGUUUUCAUCCGGCGCGUAGAUUCAUCCUGCUUGUGCUGUGCCACGGAUUUUCUGUGGGAGGAAAUCUGCCCUAAGAAGUGAAAUCCAAGCAGGAAAGCGCUGUCCUUCCAUGCCCAGCAGCAUUCCUCCGUGUGAACAAACGCAGCCCCGCCGGGGAGUGCCAAGCCGACAGCCGUGGCAUGCGGAGCCAUGGAGCUGCCAUUCCCCGGCUUUGUGUGAGCCUGUCCCCAGCCUGUCCCGGUGCCAGGCGCCAGGGAUGUGCGCUUUCUGUUCCAGCUUUGACACCUCUCAGGGCUGAGAAGCACUUGUGAGCCCCGGGGAGGAGGCACCUGUUCACUUGGCACCGGGAUGAACCCCCCAGUUCAUUCCUCACGUGCCCUUAAGUAGCCGCCGGGCUUGUGUCUGCGGACGGAUUGGGCUGGAGCUGGUGGCCAGGGCAUGGGAUGUGCUGGAUUACAUGACAGCCCCGCUAGCUCACGUGGGAAUUGGUUAAAAUCCUGCUGGUGGUUUCCAGCAAUCCAGCAGGAUUGCACCGGGGGGAAGGAAGAUGGUUGUCACCAAAGAUGAACUUUCAGGUGCAUCCAGUGACAUCCCUCCAGGUGGACAGAUAUUGCUUUUCUGGAUAAAGGCAGAUGUCAUUGCCUCAACGAGUACAUUUGCUAUUUUAUGUUAUUAGCUAAUUAUGCAUUACUAUUAUAAUUAUUAUGUUACUGGCUAAUGUUCUUAGCUGUUAUUUUACAGCUACAAAGUGAGCCAGCUGCCCAAGUGUGUAUGUAAUGUAGAGCCCCUGGCUGGAGCUGACAGUGGUUGUGUUGUAGCAGGUAGAGCCACUGAACAGUUUGUCAAACUGUUUUUCCUGCUGAAAUCCUCUUCAGGUGAGAUGAUGAUUUCCUUCUUCUCAUCUGUGGGGAUGUCAGUCUCUUAAAAAAGAAACAGGUUAGAGAAACAGCUGUCAGGAAUGGCGUAGUUGAUCUUGCUUUAGGGCAAGCUGACAGACCUUUUGGGUCCCUUUCAUCCUUUUUCCUAUGACUGUAGGUGGCCCCAGUAACAUAUGUAUCUGUAGAUAUGUUUGUUCUCUCCAGCCUGCUACAUUUUUUUAGCAAAAAUCUUUGCUAGUUGAAAGGAGCAGUCCCUUUAAACUCAGCAUCUUUUGAGAUCCGUAGGUAUAAAAAAGAAGCUCAUUGUUCAGUGUACGUCCACAAAGAUUCCUUCUUAAUCCUGACUGUGUGUACCCAUCCCUUGAUUGAGCCUUCCUGUGCAGAGGAAUUUGAGUGGAUUCACAUUCCUUCAUAAAUGCGUGUAGGGUAAUACAUCAGACUUUCUUUUCCUCUAAGCAUUCUGAUCAGUUCUGACACUUUCCAACUCCAUUAAAAAAUCCAUGUGGUAGGUGAGAGAACCCAUUAGUGCAAAGAAACUCCUGAAACCCCUCAGAGUAUUUGCUUUGCUGUGCCUUUUAACUGUUUACAAAGCCCAGGGCUUUGCUUCUGAUACACAGUCAAUAAAAGGAAACAGGCUAUUUUUAUUUUUAAUUGCAACGUAGAUGUAUGUGUUGGCCUUGUAGAAGGCAAUGUGUCGACUCUCAUGAGGUUACCCCAAUCAAGGACAAAUUUGACCAGAAAAUGGCACUUUGAGAGAAUGUUGGCAGUCAGUAUUUUGGUAUGACAUUUGGUUUAAUGCAGAAUUUUUGAAAAUCAGGGAAGCAGCCAGGCUAUUGCUUGGACCACAUCCAAGUCCUUUCACUUACUGCUGAUCCUUCCCGUUUCUGCCUCCACAGCUCUACUUGUCCAGGCCCAGGCAAGGAAUUGCUUAAACAUCUAUAAAAGUUCCUUGUUUUCUUCUUGAACUGGAUCCUGGGGUUGUACUAAUUCUGACGAGGCCUUGGCAUCUACAAGGACCUCAAGGCGGAAAGUGCGGUUUCUGGGGAAAGGAGCUUGCUGGUGGAGUAAGUUUGAAAAGAUCGUAGCAGUUCCAGUAAUUACUCAUUUCAUCAAGCCAUCUAUAUUUAAAG